AAAUUAAACUGCAAGCUGAGCCUAAGUGAGAUUUUAGAGCUAAUAUUUUUCUUUGUCAUGGAUAUACCCAUGACCACAGCAGUGACUCUAACAGGAAAAAACUAAAAACACAACUGACUGGUACAAUAUGUGCCGCGAGGUGUGUGGAGUCAUAGUUUAUCAUGAACGACAAGGGGAAGAUGGUUGGGACAAACGAUAACCCCAUUCAGAUCGAUGAAGCAAGAUUUGCUGCUCGACGAAAAUACAGUUGAGGAAGAAUGCUGAAUAGCGACAACGCUCCUUUCUUCGAAGACAGUAAUGCAGAACAACGAUACAACAGGAACCAUACACGUAGAAUUGAUGGGCCGUGGGUUUUUGGUCUCAGAGUGUCGAUACUUCUGUGUGGAACGAUGUGACGGGAACAGUCUGAACCUAAUCAUUGAAAGAGACUGUGAAAAAGGUUCACUAAUUCAUUCAGACGAGUGGCCCGCUUAUAAUAAUUUAAAUGCCAUAGGUUAUCACAGGCAACGACAUUAUGCGGAUCCAGUGACUGGAGCACACACUCAAGCCAUUGAGUGAUCAUGGUUAGAUGCUAAAUCUAUGAGUCUGGAAAAAAAAAAAAAAAGGGAUCUCUGAAGUAUCUCUGGAAUAUCUGAAAGAUAAGAAGAAAAAGUGAUUUAAGGGCGAUUUGGCUGUUGUUCCUAGCACAUCCAAUGACAACCCUCCUCGACAAACAACAGCAGUAAUUUUAUUCAGCUGAAUACAUAUCAUUGAUUGGUUGAAAUUACCGAAAUAC
rnacentral:misc_RNA from 1 species